rnacentral:rRNA from 1 species
AUGCCCAGGCUGCAAGGAGGAGGGCUUGACAAUCCUUUCACAGAGGAGGAGGUAUGGCAUGCUAUCAAGGCAUCACCGGCGGAUCGUGCGCCCGGCCCGGGCGGUUUCUCUGGCCUCUUCUUCAGAUCAUGCUGGGCAACAAUCAAAGAUGAUAUCAUGGCAGCGUUCAACCAGUUCUACAACUUAGUAGGUAGUAAUUUUGGAGCCCUGAACACUGCGGUGGUUGCAUUACUGCCCAAAAAGGACGGAGCAGCAUCAAUUAACGACUACCGGCCAAUCAGCCUCAUCCAUUCCAUAGCAAAGUUGAUCUCCAAAGUUCUGUCCCUCAGGCUUGCCAAUGUGAUCCACACACUCAUCUCACCAGCACAGUCGGCAUUCCUUUGGACAAAAUGCAUCCAUGAUAGCUUCCUAUAUGUUCAAAACUGCAUCAAGGCCCUACAUAGACGGAAAACACCGGCUCUGCUUCUUAAGUUAGACAUAGCAAAGGCCUUCGCUAAUGUGUCUUGGGAGUACAUCCUAGAGAUGCUGCAACAACGGGGUUUUAGCGCGCGAUGGAGAGAUUGGAUAUCCUUGUUGCUGUCCUCCUCCUCGUCGUCCUUCGUCCUCAACGGAGUACCAAAAAAGAUCCGACACCGGCAAGGCCUCCGGCAGGGCGACCCCCUGUCGCCAUUCAUCUUCAUCCUAGCGAUCGACACACUGCACCAUCUACUUCAGGCCGCCGCUGCACAGCAUAUCAUCGCACCACUACCAGGGCGGGAGUUAAAGCUUAGGAUUAGUCUAUACGCCGAUGGCGCCGUCAUCUUCACAAAUCCGGUGAGGGAAGAGAUAGAUGCACUCAUGGAAAUCCUAUGGGAUUUUGGCGCUGCCUCCGGAUUACACAUCAACCCAUCAAAGUCGACGGCCUUACCCAUUAGAUUGAGAAUAUAG